GGUCCUAUGGGGUAGUGGUUAUCCCACCGGAUUUUGAUGAACAAUAUACAUGUCCUGUAUAUGUGUAGGAAGAUCGAAGCUUCCGGUAACGCCGGUUCGAAUCCGGCUAGGACCU
rfam:Aspergillus oryzae strain BCC7051 OAory_C02, whole genome shotgun sequence.